GAUAUCUGUUAUUAUUGGUGCUAUAGCUCUGUACUAUACCAGUGCCAAUCCCGCUUUACCUUAUACUGCUGCCGUACCUGUCUGGAUGGGUAUACCGGUAAUUGUCUGUGGUAUAGUAGGAUUUUUAGCUGGUAAAUAUGGCGUUACAGAGACAGAAGUUUCUGUUAAAACUAAACGUUUGGUGAUAAGUUAUUUCGUCAUUUGUUUAAUUAUGAUCUCGGUUUGUAUCCUGGGCGCUCUAGUGGAAAUUUUCGGCAUUGUCUUUUGUACUCGGGCAGAAACCUCGGAACUCGUCAAACCCUGUUUACCUAAUAGGACCGGGAAUUUAACCAUGGCAGUGUUGGGAAUGAUCAUUAUGUUCGUUAUGUUUUCAUUUUCUAUCCUGGGUUCGUGUAUCUGUUGUUUUGGUCGGUCUUUGGGUUUUAAGGACAGAUAUGAUUAUGCUAUGGAACUGGGGUAUGAAAUGGCCCAACUACAACAGUGGCAACAGCAACAGCAAGUACAAGAUGGCGGCUACACAAACUGGGGUAAAAGCUAAACAGGAUGGUAUAUAAUUCGUUAACAAUUGAAAGGCGAGUCAUUUAAAUGAAGGGUUUUAAAGGGACAAUAACACUCUUGCUGGCUUGACAGCUCCAGAAAAUAAAAAAUAGCCUUAUUCUAAGUAAAUUGUGUAAAUUAUCCAUUAAAUCCUAUUUUACUUGUCCAGAGAGUUCAAAAAUAUUUUUAAAUCCAAGUCACAUUUGAAAAGCUUUACGUCAGGCUUUUCAAAUCAUUUAGUUGAAUUUUUCUAAUUUUUUAAAUUAGGUGUGUUAAGAUCAAAUUUGUAUCAUCAAUUAAUUGGAAUAUUGUAAAAUAGUACAAUUUGUUGACCAGAAUAAAGAUUUGAACAUAUUAUUCAGUUACAACAAGAGUGGUAUUGAACCUUAAAAAUGAAAUGGGUUAGGGUAACAUGGUAUUGGGAUACUCUGCAUAAUAAAACAAGCACAGGAAAUGCCUAGUAGCUUUACUGAGAUCCGGGCCGGCUUUGGCACAUUUGAACAAUUUCCCCAAAUUGGACCCCACGCCAGAAGGGGUCUCCGCCGCUUACCAACAAUAAAACUCUAAUUAAAGAUACAUUAUGGGAGAUAAGAUAACAAGAUGUCAGUUCUCGCUAUAAUAGUUAAAAACUAGAUAAUGUAAAGGUAAUUUGCUGAAAAUUUCAGUCAAAUUGAUCCACUAUGAGCCGAGAAGGAAGCGUGUGAAAUUUUGGCAUAGUCUCGGUCAUCAUUACUAAAAUCAUUAUUAUAAACAACUUAGUCUCGAUUAUCCACUUUUUAUGAUUUAAUUAUCAACGGCCGUUAGCGGCAUAUAGGAAUCUAAUCCAGCCAACAUCGAAGGCUAGCCUUGGCAUCGAGAGUUUAUUAUGGUCUGGAUAAGUUAAUUAAUGUCUAAUUGAUAAUUUAGAUAACAUUCCAGGCCUAAAGAAAUACUUGUAAUAAGCAGAUUUUGCUCUUGCAUAAUGCAUGUUUAACUGUAUACAUGUAUUAAUCAAUUACUAAUUGUAAACUAAAGCAUAGUAGGCCUUAAAUAUGAAUAUAGGCCUAGUUAAAAGGCCAUUAUAGGAGAUUAGAUAAAGAGUUGACAGUUCUCGCUAUAAUGUGUAAAAAAUAGAUAAUGUAAAUAGAAUAUGCUGAAAGUUUCAAUCCAAUUGUUACACUCUGACUCGAGAUAUUAGCUCUUGAAUUUUAGGCUAGUCAUAAAUAACGUCAAUAGAAUAUGCUGAAAAUUUCAGUCAAAUUGUUCCACUCUGAAUCGAGAUAUUAGCUUUUGGAUUUUAGGCUAGCCUCGAUCAUCAUUACUAAAGUCGGUACGAUAAAGAACAAAGUCUAGAUUAUCUAUUUUUACGUUUAAUUAUUUUUCAAAAAAUGUAUUCCAAUCCGCUAAAUAUAGCAGACUAGAGAUGGCAUCGAGAGUAGCUUAUGGUCUGGAUAUGUUAAUUAAAAUCUAAUUAAUAAUUUAGAUAACAUUUCAGGCCCAUAGAAAGACCCGUAAUAAGCAGAUUUAGCUCUUACGUAAUGUAUGUUUAAAGUAGCUAAGUCUAUAACUCUUACGUAAUGUAUGUUUAAAGUAGCUAAGUCUCUAACGCUUACGUAAUGAAUGUUUAAAGUAGCUAAGUCUCUAACUCUUACGUAAUGUAUGUUUAAAGUAGCUAAGUCUCUAACACUUACGUAAUGUAUGUUUAAAGUAGCUAAGUCUCUAACUCUUACGUAAUGUAUGUUUAAAGUAGCUAAGUCUCUAACACUUACGUAAUGUAUGUUUAAAGUAGCUAAGUCUCUAACUCUUACGUAAUGUAUGUUUAAAGUAGCUAAGUCUCUAAAUCUUACGUAAUGUAUGUUUAAAGUAGCUAAGUCUCUAAAUCUUAUAGAUAAAUUACAAAAAGUACAGAAUACUGCUGCUAGACUUGUUACUUUAACUAUGGAAUGUGAUCACAUAACUCCUGUUUUAUAUAAUUUACACUGGUUACCUGUUAAAUAUCGAAUUGAUUUUAAGAUUUUAUUACUUACAGUACUUUUAAAUGUUUAAAUAAUUAAGCUCCUGUUUACCUCUCAGAUCUUUUAGAACUUUAUACACCUGGCCGAACAUUACGUACAUCAGAUAAAUUACUUUUAAAGCCCAAAACUGUUCAACUAGUCUCGUCUGGUCAGCGCUCUUUUAGUUAACAAGCCCCUGUUUUAUGGAAUAAUCUACCAUUUAGUUUAAGAUGUUGUACAUCUCUAUAUUUUUAUAAAAAACACCUUAAAACACAUUUAUUUAAUCAGGCUUUUAACUGACUCUGUAUGCAAUCGUUAACAUGUCCAUAAUCUUGUUGUUUAUGUAUGAUUUACAUUGUCACUUUGUAAAGUGCCCCUGAACAUGUUAUAUGAAAGGGCUCACUAUAAAUAUGCUGUAAUAAUAAUAAUAAUAAUAAUAUCAUCCAAAUUUGAAUCAACAUUGAUGUUGUGAUCUUACCGGGAAAAGGUGGGCUUCUGAUAUCCAGUAUUUAAGACAAAAUAAAAAUUUUACCAUUGGUACACGAAUCAUAUACCAUAAUGUGUAUCAGCGCCAUUUGUAACAAGCGACUCGAAGAACGAAGCUAGACGUAUUCUACAGGUCAUUUCAAACGGUAAAGCCAUAUUCGUAUCUGGAGAGCAUGCGCAAUAAAUAAUAUCUUUGUAGACUGGAAUAACCAGAUGCUAGAGAUUGCAAUUCGAUUGAGACUUCUGGCGUAUUUCGCAAACAUAACUGAUUUGAAAUUAGAGUAAAAACGGAAACGAUUGAAUGUAAAUCAGUUUAUAUAUAUAUACAUUCAUAUUACAUUAUUAUAUGCGUUGCGACAAUUUGUCUCAAUUUCUAAGUUCCAAAUAUUAGCGAUUUAGCUCUUUUGAAUUUAUUAAUAUCCUGCAAUGUAUUCAUAUCCGGAAAAUUCGGGUUUCUCAAAUUAGCCCUGACUGAAAUAUAGUUACGAGGUAAUGGUAAAUCAUCAACAAAAUUAAUAACCUCUUCCUUUCGUUUGCUUGAUAAAUUCUAGAGAAUCUCAAAACCGAACUUUUUAAUCAAAUAUACAACUGAUUGAAUACGGUUCUAGCUGUGUUUGUGUCAGACUUUUACCAUGUGUACUAAAUAAUGUUCUCCAUUUUUUGUUUAUGUCUUUUUUAUGGAGAGCAGCUCACUGAGUUGAAUUGUUGGCGCUAUAUAAAUCAAUUAUUAUUAUUAUUAUUGUUUUCAUGUACAUAAUGUUCCAGAAAUUUAUAUAAUUGUAUCAUUUGCUUGACGGAAACUAGGUACGUCGCUGGACAAUAAACAGUUAUGUCCGGUGUAAAUUUAUAGAUAAUGUUGUUAUGAACUGGGGUUUAACGUCCUACUUCGACUGGGCUAAUGAAGACGGCCAAGGGCCUCUUUCCUGCAUCACUGACACCACUGACAAGUGGGAACCACAUCGGAAAAUUCCGAUGAACUUUCUCGGGAAAGUGAAAGUAUUGAACAACAGGUGAGCGAGCCAACGUCCUACCCGCUGAGUCACCGUGACUCCCAGAGAAUGUGGUAUGCCCAGACAUGAGAUGCUCAUAGAACAGCAUAACUUUGUUGGUUUUUUUUGGUUUUUUUCGUAGGAAGCCGUAGUGGCACAGUAACUAAGGCUCUGUCACGUUAUCCAUGAGGUUUCGAAUUAGCUGCCGGUGUUGACCCAGGAAAAUCCUCUAGAUUUUCAUACGGGGUUUCCCAUUGUCGGUGCUGCAGGGCGGUGGGCCUCGUAAGGACGGAAUAAGAGUAGGUCGUAACGGCUGUGUCCGGGCAAAACUUCUCUCAAUCAGAGCACCCGUCUUCAUUAUCCUUGUUAGUGCAGAUAGAUAUAGGAUGUUAAACCCCAUUUCAUUUCAUUUCAUGUCAUUUGUUUUUCUUGUAAAUAAAUGUAUUUCCAUCUUACAUAUCAGAACAUAUAACUUAUCUCAAUAAUAAGGAAUAAUAAAAUUUACUUUUUUAAAA